GUGCCAGCAGCCGCGGUAAUACGUAGGUGGCAAGCGUUAUCCGGAAUUAUUGGGCGUAAAGCGCGCGUAGGCGGUUUUUUAAGUCUGAUGUGAAAGCCCACGGCUCAACCGUGGAGGGUCAUUGGAAACUGGAAAACUUGAGUGCAGAAGAGGAAAGUGGAAUUCCAUGUGUAGCGGUGAAAUGCGCAGAGAUAUGGAGGAACAACAGUGGCGAAGGCGACUUUCUGGUCUGUAACUGACGCUGAUGUGCGAAAGCGUGGGGAUCAAACAG
rnacentral:rRNA from 1 species